rnacentral:ncRNA from 1 species
AGUCUUCGAGCUCUUUCGCCUAAGGUAUACGCUAUGGCGUUCGGGCCGUGCGGAAACGCAAGGGUUAUCCUGGAAACGGGCUGGCCUUCCUGAUUGAAAAGAAGA